GGACCGUGGCUAUGGAGUCCGGCGUGGCAGCGGCAAUCCCUGGCCAAAGUGUGCCUUCAGCCAAAAGCAGAACUGGAAACAUCCUAAGUGGGCCGGUAACGAGGCUAGCUCUGUCGACUAGUUCAAGACCCCUGAGCGCUUUGGGCCUGAGGUUCCUCAGCUUCCAAGUGAAAGGCUUCGACUUGGCAUUCUAAGAGACAAUCUCUGUGACCAUCAGUUUCCUCAUCUGUAAAACUGGCAUCAUGAUAACUUUGAAGGUUUUAUUCUGGGCAUAUAUAUGUUUGGAGGUGUGUGUAUGUUUGGGGAACCUUUGAAUUUGGAAGUACCAAGGUGAGGAGAGACUUAUGGAAUUUAGAAGCUUUGGCAGGAACUAAGCACUGUGUUUCUUAGAAUGAGCAGCUCUUUCUACUUGAAAGGCUGAGGCAGAGGAUCGCUUGAUCCCAGGGAUUUGAAGCUGGCUGCAGUGAGCUAUGAUCACACCACUACUCUCCAGCCUAGGUGACACAGCAAGACUCUGUAAAAAAUGAAGAAGAAGAAAGAAGAAGAAGAAGAAGAAGAAGAAGAAGAGGAAGAGGAAGAGGAAGAAGAAGAAGAAGAAGAAGAAGAAGAAGAAGAAGAAGAAGAAGAAGAAGAAGAAGAAGAAGAAGAACAGGCCAUGUGAGCUCUAUAAGGAACGACCCAGGCCAGAAACCUGCCAAAUCCUGUCCAGUACUAUGAUCUACAAAACGGAUCUGCCUCAGGAAAGCCAGGGAAGGUGGGGCUGGAUGGAGUGUGUUCCAGCUGGAACAUCUGCUCUGGGCCAGGCACAGUGGGGAAAGCCAAGGUGGAUUCACUAUGGCCCUGAUCUCAUGAUUGGG
rnacentral:lncRNA from 1 species